UACGGGGGAGCAAGCGUUGUUCGGAUUUACUGGGCGUAAAGGGCGCGUAGGCGGCCAGCACAAGUCAGUUGUGAAAUCUCCGGGCUUAACUCGGAAAGGUCAACUGAUACUGUGCGACUAGAGUGCAGAAGGGGCAACUGGAAUUCUCGGUGUAGCGGUGAAAUGCGUAGAUAUCGAGAGGAACACCUGCGGCGAAGGCGG
rnacentral:rRNA from 1 species